rnacentral:rRNA from 1 species
GACGAACGCUGGCGGCGUGCCUAACACAUGCAAGUCGAGCGGAGACAGUGAGUAGCUUGCUACGAGCUGUUUUAGCGGCGGACGGGUGAGUAACGCGUGAGCAACCUUUCCCAGACAGGGGAAUAACACACCGAAAGGUGUACUAAUACCGCAUAAGACCACGGGAUCACAUGGUUCUGGGGUAAAAGAUUUAUCGGUUUGGGGUGGGCUCGCGUCCGAUUAGGUAGUUGGUGAGGUAACGGCCCACCAAGCCGACGAUCGGUAGCCGACCUGAGAGGGUGAUCGGCCACAUUGGGACUGAGACACGGCCCAAACUCCUACGGGAGGCAGCAGUGGGGAAUAUUGGGCAAUGGGGGGAACCCUGACCCAGCAACGCCGCGUGGAGGAAGAAGGUUUUCGGAUCGUAAACUCCUGUCCUUGGAGACGAGUAGAAGACGGUAAUCCAAGGAGGAAGCCCCGGCUAACUACGUG